rnacentral:RNase_P_RNA from 1 species
GAGUUGGUCGGAUGGUCGCUGCUUUUGCAGAGGAAAGUCCGGACUUCAUAGAGCAGGAUGCCAGGUAACUCCUGGGAGGCGUGAGCCUACGGAAAGUGCAACAGAAAAUAUACCGCCCUAGGGUAAGGUUGAAAAGGUGAGGUAAGAGCUCACCGCAUCAGUGGUAACAUUGAUGGCAGUGUAAACCCCAUCCGAAGCAAGACCAAAUAGGAAUCUUAUUGAUUGCUCAUCAGAGAUUCGGGUAGGUUGCUAGAGCAUUAUGGCGACAUAAUGUCGAGAUAGAUGGCCAUCUAGACAGAAUCCGGCUUACAGACCAACUCAU